ensembl:lncRNA
AGAGACUCAGGAGUUUAACUCUGACGAAGCUCCUAAAUAUCCUAAAACUCAAACUGACCCAAAUGUGACAUGUACUUGCGUUCGGUUCUCAGGAGAAAGAUCUGGGGCGCUGGUUUUCUAGGAGGAAGAACUGAGAUGUUGAUCUGUGGUUUUCGUUCCAGGGUUUUGUGUCGUGGGAAAUGAAGCAUGUGGCUUUAAUGGCACCCUUGUGGGCGUCUGAUUCGGGGUCAGCUGUCACACCUUUUUAGAGUGACAUUUCUAAAGUGUGCCGUGACUGAAUUACACUAAAAAUAUCUUCAUUUGGGGUGUUAUUCUGUUACUUUUUAUAAAACUGAUAGAAAGCAUCUCUGCCGAUGUCAGAAGUGGUUCAGGAGAGGGAAACGUUGGCAGUGAUGGUGACAUCUGAUACUGUUUUGACGGCAGGAGAUCCUCUGUGAAUCACUGAUCUGAGACCUGCACUGACUCAUGGGUCUUUCUGCCGUCCUGUUUGGAAUGAGCUCUGGAGAUACUUUCACUCAGAAGUGGCUCUGUAUGAAAGCUCGGUGGGCGUCUCUGGAGACAACAGCUGCAGACUUUAACAAGCAGACCAGCGCCGGUAUAUCACACUCUAAAAAUGCAACAAUGAAGACACAUAAUCCCAUAAGGACUGAACUGUGAUUGCCAUUAAGUGAUCCAUUAUUUUACAGUGAAUUUGGGCCUGGACUUGACUGGCCUCACAUGCCUCUUCAGCCAUUUGUCCCCUUGCAGGGAUUCUUGGGACGGGAUGCUGGAAGUUAAUGGACACAAUGCUCAACGACUCGUUUCAGGGGAAUUAUUAAGUUUACCCACAAAACCAGUACAAAUAACUCAGCGCUGACCUGCCGGAUGGCUUUGGAAGGGCAACCUCCCAGAGGGACGGCGUUGGGAGCUUAAUUAGAAUGUCAGGAGACACUUUCAAAGAAGUGUGAGAUGAGAGUCCACUCCAAUGGGAAACCUGAGCCGAUCGUCUUUCCCAGUUCAAGGAAAACUGUUGAAUGGGAUCAGACACAAGGAAUCACAGCAAAGACAGGAAGCAGUGAAGAGCAGAGGAUGUGUUUUUGGUGAGCACUUCAUCUGUGUAUCUCAG